rnacentral:rRNA from 1 species
GACGAACGCUGGCGGCGCGCCUAACACAUGCAAGUCGAACGAGCGAGAGAGAGCUUGCUUUCUCGAGCGAGUGGCGAACGGGUGAGUAACGCGUGAGGAACCUGCCUCAAAGAGGGGGACAACAGUUGGAAACGACUGCUAAUACCGCAUAAGCCCACGACCCGGCAUCGGGUUGAGGGAAAAGGAGCAAUCCGCUUUGAGAUGGCCUCGCGUCCGAUUAGCUAGUUGGUGGGGUAACGGCCCACCAAGGCACGAUCGGUAGCCGGACUGAGAGGUUGAACGGCCACAUUGGGACUGAGACACGGCCCAG